rnacentral:rRNA from 1 species
GGGCAUGCCUAUACUGCAGUCGAGCGAGCUUGCCUAGAUGAUUUUAGUGCUUGCACUAAAUGAAACUAGAUACAAGCGAGCGGCGGACGGGUGAGUAACACGUGGGUAACCUGCCCAAGAGACUGGGAUAACACCUGGAAACAGAUGCUAAUACCGGAUAACAACACUAGACGCAUGUCUAGAGUUUGAAAGAUGGUUCUGCUAUCACUCUUGGAUGGACCUGCGGUGCAUUAGCUAGUUGGUAAGGUAACGGCUUACCAAGGCAAUGAUGCAUAGCCGAGUUGAGAGACUGAUCGGCCACAUCGGGACUGAGACACGGCCCAAACUCCUACGGGAGGCAGCAGUAGGGAAUCUUCCACAAUGGACGAAAGUCUGAUGGAGCAACGCCGCGUGAGUGAAGAAGGGUUUCGGCUCGUAAAGCUCUGUUGGUAGUGAAGAAAGAUAGAGGUAGUAACUGGCCUUUAUUUGACGGUAAUUACUUAGAAAGUCACGGCUAACUACGUGCCAGCAGCCGCGGUAAUACGUAGGUGGCAAGCGUUGUCCGGAUUUAUUGGGCGUAAAGCGAGUGCAGGCGGUUCAAUAAGUCUGAUGUGAAAGCCUUCGGCUCAACCGGAGAAUUGCAUCAGAAACUGUUGAACUUGAGUGCAGAAGAGGAGAGUGGAACUCCAUGUGUAGCGGUGGAAUGCGUAGAUAUAUGGAAGAACACCAGUGGCGAAGGCGGCUCUCUGGUCUGCAACUGACGCUGAGGCU